UUUAGCCUACGGGGCGCAGCAGUAGGGAAUCUUCGGCAAUGGACGACAGUCUGACCGAGCAACGCCGCGUGAGUGAAGAAGGUUUUCGGAUCGUAAAACUCUGUUGGUAGAGAAGAACGUUGGUGAGAGUGGAAAGCUCAUCAAGUGACGGUAACUACCCAGAAAGGGACGGCUAACUACGUGCCAGCAGCCGCGGUAAUACGUAGGACCCGAGCGUUGUCCGGAUUUAUUGGGCGUAAAGCGAGCGCAGGUGGUUUAUUAAGUCUAGUGUAAAAGGCAGUGGCUCAACCAUUGUA
rnacentral:rRNA from 1 species